GACGCGGUAGCGCAGUGGUUAAGUAGAUUUGACUUGGGAUCAAAAGGUCCUGAGUUCAAGUCCUUGCCCCAGCC